rnacentral:siRNA from 1 species
AAUGUCAAGAGAGGAGACUGGAGA